AGCGCAGGCGGGAGGACAAGUUGGAAGUGAAAUCUAUGGGCUCAACCCAUAAACUGCUUUCAAAACUGUUUUUCUUGAGUAGUGCAGAGGUAGGCGGAAUUCCCGGUGUAGCGGUGGAAUGCGUAGAUAUCGGGAGGAACACCAGUGGCGAAGGCGGCCUACUGGGCACCAACUGACGCUGAGGCUCGAAAGUGUGGGUAGCAAACA
rnacentral:rRNA from 1 species